CACAGAAACCUCCACAGGACGAGGCUCCUCCCGCAGCAGCUGCCAGCUCCUGCUCAUCAGGGUCCAAAGGUGAUGGCAGUUGGUCGGAUGACACUCUGCUGGUGGAAGCAUCCUCCUUUAAAAGACAAGCAGGGGAUGCAGGAGGUAGAAAAAAGUCUCUAGAAAAAGAGGCCCAUCCAGAUCCUCCACAGAAGCCCCACACAGACACUACUACUCCAAGUCCAUAGUUUAUACAAUGCAAUUAACUGUUACAUCCUCUUGGUUCCUAGUGGGGCAGCAUAAAUGGGGAGGCCACACAAAAGUAUGCUUAGGUAAAUGAAAAACUUUUUUACUAAUACACAUCAUUUUUAAGGCUCCUGUAUCAGCUUCUGAUGGUGAACACGGGAGGACAUCUGAUGUGACGGCUGCAUGUGUGGCUAGUGCUAAUGUGACUGGUGCAGCGCUUCAGCCAUGUCUGGGCACUGCAACAGCAGCAGACACCGCACAUCCUGUAGUAACCGAUUUAAGUCUAACCUCGUUUCCACCGAGCGGUACAGGACAGUACAGUACAGUUAACUAUGAUUCGAAAUGGUAAACUCUAAUCCGGCUUGCGUUUCCACCACCAACAGUACCCUUACUUGAUAGGCGUGGUGUAUGCGAAAGUGGCGAUCAAUGUCAUUCUCGUGCGAAAAAGAAAGCGACACCGUAAACAACAAUGGAGGACAAACAGCAGUUCUUGCUUCUCUGCAUUUGGCUGUUUGUCACAAGAACAAACGGUAUUGUGUUUCAACUUUAUUAAAAAAAAAUGGCGCCUCGUGUGUUGUCAUUCCCCUUGUAGCAUGUGCAAGUGACGAUUCUCUGUCAACCAAUCAACGUUUUGCAGUGAGUCUAGCUCCACCCUUUAGUACCGGACUACUGUGCUAGGUACCCCAAUGGAAGGAUCCCAAAAAAGUGGACGUUACGGUUCGGAAUUAGGGUACCAUUCACAACUUCUGACAAUGGAAACGGCAAAAAUUGCGUACCGCUUGGUGGAAACGAGGCACAAGUACUCGGUGGUUGUUACAUAAGGUUUUGUCUUUGUUAUACUACCAGGUGACAUUUGAAGGCUGGCACAAAAUGUGGGAGUCUGGUCCUAAUGGGCUCCCCAAAGCAGACAUCAUGUGGCUAAAGGAGGAUGAAGAGAGGGGACUCUUCCAGAGGGCAAUGUCUUAUAAAGACAAGUAUGGCAACACAAGGUGGAGGAAAGUCCUGAAGGAUGACAGGAUGUGGUUUCAUCCUCCUGAAUUUCCUGGAAUGGUGGAAGGGAAAGUCUCCUCAGCAGACUCUUUUUAUAACAGCCCUGUUUUUUUUCUAGAGACCAGUUGGAGUGUGGCGUUACAGUCUGCGCUGUCCAAGGUCUGACUGCCCUGCCCGUUCCAAUCAGAACGCUUUUCUGUACCAUUGUGGCUCCAUGCUGACUGAGGUCCUGGCAUGUAAUGCAUGCAUAAAGACUGCCAAGGAGUCAGAGGAACACGCCACUGGUUGUUUCCCGUCAUGGGAUGCAUGCAUCAUCAACCAGCUCAGUCCAGCUUACAGAGCUGUGUUAACAUUAUGAUCUGCAAUUAACUUUCUGGAGAUGGAAAUGGCACUGCAGAAUGGUGCACCAAUGUGGCCAAUGAGCUGGGUCAGAUCCUCAUAUCGGUCAUGACCAGUGAGGAAUCACUGGAAAAAAUUUAGUCGAUGGCUGAAGGCCUCAUGGAGAGGUACAGAAGAGAUGGUGAGGCACCUCCCGAACUCAUGUAGACCGUGGCUGCUGUCGUGUCUAUGGCGUGUCUAUGGCGUGUCUUCUGUGGAACAGCUCUUCAGUGAUUGGACAGACAGGGGUAUGCUGGUACGGCUCGACAUCUUUCACUGGAUCCAUCGAUUUGAUGCGGCCGUGUGGACGGAUCAUCACCCAAACUGCUGGACAAGUCUACUGCCUUAACCCACGUGAAAGUCUCCUCCUUGCAGAAGGGACCACCGACUGGAAAAGCUGGUGGUGCCAUUUGGCCAAUAUAUCAAUGCCCUGUUCUUACUGGCUUGUGGAAAAUGAUGUGGGCUACAUGAAGUAUGGUGUUGACAAGCCCCUAGCAGAACUUUCUAACCAACCUAGGAAGAAGCUACACAAUCACUGGACAAAGGACUAUCUGGCAGAGCAUACAGAGAGCUUCUAUCUGUUCUCCUGGAGGCCAACAUCCACCAGUGUAUCUAUGGACAGAAUGGAUUUGAGAACCAUACCUUUAAGGAGCUCUACAGCGAGUAUUCUGUGCUGAAGGACAGGCUAGAUGAUUUCAGCAGUAGUCAGAGGGAUUUGAUCCAGAAGGCGCACAGCUUUGUCUGCUGGUGGCUGCAUACACCUGAAAUGCAUAUGACAAGUGUGCAGACGAAAAGAUUUAAGAAGAACAUUUAUGACAAGUACAAAAUGUCAAGCUCCUCCAUCAGUGAUCCUUAAGGGCUGGAUGAUACUCAUUUAUUAGAGGUGAUUGAGUCAGAGUCUACUGUUGCAAUGUUCCACUGCCAUGUAUUGACGUUCUCUGCAACGUUGCAGACCCCCACAUCUGCAUCCACUGCCACAUCAAUGACAUCCACAGGCAUAUUUAAUAAUUCUGUUUGUAAGCUCAAGCACAAGGAGUCUCAGUCAUGAUUCAUGUUUCUUCUGCAGAACUACCUCUGCAUAUAUGAAUAUUACUCAACAAAGAGUCACUCAAAGUUAUCAAACAUGAAUGAUUAUUAUUGGAGUGAGAAUGUAUUAUACUGUUUUGACAUUUUUAAAAGUUGAGCUGGAGGGUCGGGUGCGCCUGUGGGAAAAUGCUAAUGGAAUUUCACCAGCUGACCUCUCGAGGGUAAAGGAUGAUGCAGAGAGAGGGCUCUUCACCCACAUACCAUGACAGCACUGGUGCAAUGAAGAGGCGAUGGAGUCGUAUCCUUGUCUGGCGGCCCGUUGGGGUAUGGAGAUACUCCCUGAGGUGUCCUCGUGGUGACGAAUGCGUGGGUAAUGGAAAGGACAUGUACCUCUACAAGUCACCAAGGUUUGUCAUAUCUGCAACGGAUCCAACAGGAAUUCCAUGCUGACAGAGGUCUUGUGCUGUGGACAGUGCACCAAAGCAGGUAGAAGCAGUGAAGGUGGCAUGGUGGGUUGUUGGUUGGCAUGGCAUCCUGCUAUCCUGUGCCAACUCAGUGAGGCUCACUAAGCCAUGUUCCCUGCUAUCUUCACACAUAGGCGAGUAUACUGAACAUUGGUGUCUGCUUGCUGUAAAUUAGUAGCACUAGCCUCUGUUGGCAUACUGAUUAACAUACAUACAGGCGUGGUGUGGACAAGAAUGUGGUAUGGUGGGACCGAACUGAAUACCUCUUGGAAUUUCCUGUAACUAAUAUUUUAUAUUUUAUGUAACUAAAUAAAUUCACAGUUGAUUAUAUUAUUGGACAGAUUAUUUAUGCAUAACUAUAUUGUAAAAAAGGCAACUUUUUAAUAAUUAUAUCAGAUAACAUUUUAUCUGUAGUUUUUCCUACAACACACUAUCGUUAAUGUCCCUGGUACAGAUCAAUACAUUACCUUAAAUAAUGAAUAACAUCAAUAGUAUGUAUGUAUGUAUGUAUGAUAUAUAUAUAUAUCAACAUCUAUAUAUAUAUAUAUAUAUAAUCACUUAUAUAUAGUACAUAACACCAUCAAUAACAAUGACAAAAUGUAAUCAUGCAGCAACACUUUUCUUGAAACAAUCAGGCACAAUCACAGUUUGGUGGUUCACCACAUAUGUUUUCUAGCUGGGGAUACUUUGUUACAUCAUCGGCCCCUUUCGUUACUUCAUACACUUCCCUAUUCAGUGCUUGGUGGAUCCAAAAUGGUCAAUAUUCAUAUUCAUGCAUUUUAUUCAUAUUUCAUGUUAAUCAUUUAUGGCUUAUGAUUUAUCAAUAUUACUUUUGAUUUCAUAUAUUCCUGUACUCCUACUCCAUAUAUUAAUCCUCAUCAUAUUUUCAAGUAUUUACACUUUAUUGUACCCUUUAUGGUUAUUCUUCUUUGAUAUUUAAGAGUAUGUAUGCUUGCUAUAUUCAAUUGUUCUUCAAAGUGUUCCAAUGUGACAGGUUAUGUUGACACGUUUGUGGUUCGAUAUUGGACGUCUGCCAAGUACUGCAGAAGCGAUGUUUUCGGAAUUAGUUGCUCAACUCGAUGUACCUUUUGUAUCAAAAUAUGUCCAUUUCUAUUUCUGCUGACAUGUGAUAAUGUAAGAUCUGCAAAAUUCCCUUAAGGGGGUCAAAACAUCCCCUAUAUCUAUUUUCAUCUAUUUUUUUGACAUCGGACCAGUCUAUGACAUAAUGGAUAAAUUCAUUUGACCUUUUCUCAUUAGAACAAAACAUAAGUUUGAGUGGGAUGUAAAUUUCCCUAUGCUUAUGGUAUAAAAUGGACUGAGUCAUUGAUUGUUUAGCUUUUCCUUUUCUUUUUCCUUUGCUUUUCUUUGCUCUUCUACUUCUUCUCUUCUAUCUCUCAUUUCAUUCUGCAAAUGUCUUAAUUUUGUUCUUUCUUUCUGUAUAUUCUGAUCUUCAUCUAUUAGAUACAAUACUCUAGAUUUUAUUAUUAACUAAUUAAUUUGUUUGUCUCUAUAGUUUAAUGAGUAAAUUUGUUAUUCCUUAUUCAAAUUUGAUCUUUGACAUAAUCAUUGCUGGACUGCCUGGAUCUCAUUUACUCAAGUUUUUGCAUCAGUGCUCCACUGGCAUUGCUUCUGAAUAGGUAUAUUACUGGACACUGUUUUAAUCCACUUACGUCAAAUGCAAAAAAAAAAAAAACAUUUCUGUGGAUGUACUGGAUAUUAUUUGGUGCUGUGAUGAAAAGCAAUGCCGCUGUAACCAAGGUUGCCUAUACUGCUAUUGCACUCUCUUCUUCUGGAUGAAGAUACAGAGCAGAGACUGCACAGAGAGUUUUCAUUAAGGCACGGAAUAUUACUUCAAACUACAGCAAUUCAUGCUGUUAGGGGGUGUCUAUCUAUCUAUUGCACAUUUAUAAAUCACUGUCAAGUUACCUCUUUUAAAGGCUCAAAUAUAGAAAAAAUUAUAAAUAUAUUUUUUUCACCUUUUACAUGUUGUUGUAGGAGACCUUUAAUGCAUAAAUAAAUGUCUGAACAAAUGUAGAGAACAUCUAAGGCAGUGCAGUGGUCUCAAACUCAAUUCCUGGAGGGCCACAGCUCUGCACAGUUUUGCUUCAACCCUAAUCAAACACACCUGAUCCAGCUAAUCAAGGUCUUCAUGAUUACUAGAAACUUCCAAACAGGUGUGAGUUGGAGCUAAUUGGAGCUAAACUGUGCAGAGCUGUGGCCCUCCAGGAAUUUAGUUCGAGACCACUGAUCUAAGGGCUCAUUUGCAUGGUUAUCUAACCCCAUAACAGUGGCCUAUAUUAUAUAUAUAUACCUAAUUUCUCAAUGGUGUGACUAAAAAAAAAUCUGAGGUUGCACCGGUACGACCAGCCGUUCGAGGAAAAAAGCAAAAAGAACAAAAAAAAAAAGUCUCUGCAACUCUGAAAGUCUCCCUGUGGUUCAACAACAGACACACAUUAGGCCCAUAGCAUGGUCUAAACCAAUCAGAGAUAAGGAAGGCAGAACUGUCCCAAUGUUAAUCACUGACCAAAAAAAAAAAAAAUAAAUAAAUAAAUAAAUAAAUAAUCUUUUUUAAAACACUUUAGGGGGGGUGCACCGUUCCCGGAAGUACUGCAAUACCGGGUCGAUGCGUGGAGUGGACGGAGCAAGCCCCUAUUCCAUCUCCCUGUUCCAAAAAUCAAUUUAAUAUAUGGUGCCCGGGUAGGGCACGUAUCAGAUAUUAAACUGAUAAGAACAGAUACUACACUUGAUCUUAGCCAAAAGGCCGAGAAGCGAUACCCACAAAUGGUCAACAGUAGCAACCACAUUCUAGGAGACAGUAAUUCUGAUGAUGGUAAGCUUUUAUUUUAUUGUUUACUUAAUUCUUGUAUAGAAUAAAAAUUUCAACACUGCUAAAGUAAAAAAAAAAAAAAAAAAAAAAAAAGACUCUUUAAGCCAUAUCUGAGCACUGGUCAUUCACACCUCAGAUUUGAAAUAAGCUCAAGAAAUGGGUGUAGAAAGCUGAGGUAAUGUGAUUGGGUAAAGGGUGAGAAGAGGGGAGGGGAAAUUAUGAGGGGGGGAGGGGUUCCACCACAAUAACAACUCAACAGACCUACAUCACACUCAUUACAGACAUGAAAGAACAUUAAAAUGUGAUUGGAAACAAAGAUAAGAGUUGGGAAACACUACAUUUUAAAAAUAUAACCAUUUAAAAAAAAAAAAAAAAAAAAAAAAAUCUCUUGAACGAGAAACAUUUACUUUUCUGCCCAUUCUCCUUUGAAAUUUUGGUUUUCAUUAUCUUCUAUUUGAAUAAUUGGUUACACUUUAUUUUACAGUGCUGUAGUUACAUUGUAAUUACUCAAAUAAGUACUGAGUACUAUUAAUUAACUACAUAUACUUACUAUAGAGUUACAGUUAGGGUUAGUUACUUGUAAUUAUCCAUAAUCUACUGUUAUUACUAUAGUAAGUAGCUGUAGUAACGAGUAACUACGGCACUGUAAAAAAGUGUUACCGAAUAAUUAACUGUCACCCAUAUCAGAGAUACUGCUGUAGAAAAUUUGAAAAAAGAAAAAUUCAUUUUGAAAGUAAUGCUGUGUCUUCGAAAAAAGAAUUAACUCCUUAAAAAGUGAGCACAUUUCAAUUCUAUUGUUAAACCAGAAGAUCAGGGGAGAGCGCGAACGCAGUCCCCCACUACCAGAAAUUAUGCAGUCGAGAUUCCCACAUUUGGGGAAUUCGCAGGGGUCAGCACAACCGGAGUGCAAUGGCUGAGCCUCGCCCUGGGUGAACCACCUUCUUGAUCAUGGUGUCUCCCCUGCCAGGUAAGUAUGAGUUCCACACGCACCCUGUAGGGGGGUCACUUGAGGGAACAUCAUUCUCAAAGAUGGUGAGGAGUCACUUCACUACAUAUGGUUCAUCAACGCAAUCUAUUCUAAACCCUCAAUCUAUACUGUAAACUCUGGAUCUUGUUAAAUCAUCAGUCAUGUCAUUUUACAGUCAUACAGUCUACGCUGACUGUUGACAAUUAGACCUUCUGAUUGGUCUACAUUCACUGUACACUCAACAGUAGAUCUCUCUACCAAUCACAGAAGAGGAUUUGACUGUACUCUACCAAUCAGGCAAGAGACAUUCUAAGCUAUAAGUUUGUCUGCUCAUUGACACUUCAUUGACAAUUAUUGACAAUUUAACAGGGACAUUCUACAGGAUUAUGUUGCUAUAGUGGCAGGAGAGUGGCCAAGGUAUAAGAGUGAAACCAAAGUAACAUAC